UUCGUAGGGUGCGAGCGUUAAUCGGAAUUACUGGGCGUAAAGCGGGCGCAGGCGGUUAGGUGGGGCCGAUGUGAAAGCCCCGGGCUUAACCUGGGAAUGGCAUUGGAAACUGGCGAGCUUGAGUGUGGCAGAGGGGGGUGGAAUUCCGCGUGUAGCAGUGAAAUGCGUAGAGAUGCGGAGGAACACCGAUGGCGAAGGCAGCCCCCUGGGCUAACACUGACGCUCAGGCACGAAAGCGUGGGGAGCAAACAGG
rnacentral:rRNA from 1 species